ensembl:rRNA 5S_rRNA 5S ribosomal RNA
AUUUAGGGCAGUGGUUCUCAAACUCAGCUGCACAUUAGAACACCUAAGGAGUUUUUUAAAAAUAUACUGAUGUUGUGUCACGCCUGGUUAGUACUUGAAUGGGAGACCACCUAGGAAGACCGGGUGCUGUAGGCA